GAAUGGAGAUUGGUCAACGGAUUCACGGGACACAUACAACCUCUACGAUCCUGUUGUGAGAUCAACAGUCCAAGUGUACCCUGGAGGAUGGACUGCAGUUUAUGCAUUCCUUGACAACCCUGGGAUGUGGAACUUGAGAUCUCAACUGUUAAAGCAUUGGUACUUAGGGCAAGAACUCUAUGUGAGAGUUUAUGAUGCUGACCCUAACCCUGCUAAGGAGAGCCCACCACCCGAAAACCUCCUUCGAUGUGGAAUUUUCUCUUCUCCUCCGGCUCCGGCUCCGGCUCCAGCUUCAUGGACUUGAUGCUGAUUGGGAAUGACCUUAAUUAGUAGAAUUAUAGAUGCAUUAUGAAUAACUAGCUAGCAAACUGCACACACAACUAUGAGUGUGCUUGAGUGAGGCUAGAAUAAAUUUAUUUGUUUA